rnacentral:rRNA from 1 species
UACGUAGGGGGCAAGCGUUGUCCGGAAUCAUUGGGCGUAAAGCGCGCGUAGGCGGCCCGGUAAGUCCGUUGUAAAAGUCGAAGGCUCAACCUUCGAAAGCCGAUGGAUACUGCCGGGCUAGAGUCCGGAAGAGGCGAGUGGAAUUCCUGGUGUAGCGGUGAAAUGCGUAGAUAUCUGGAGGAAUACCGGUGGCGAAGGCGGCAUCCUGGACCGAGAUUGACGCUGAACGGCGAAAGCUAGGGGAGCAAACGGG